CAAUAGCGUAUAUUAAUGUUGUUGCAGUUAAAAAGCUCGUAGUUGGAUUUCUGGUGGGAACGCCGGUCCGGCUCCGCAAGGGGUCGUGAAUUGGUUUCUCCUGCCAUCCUCAGGGGGAGCUGCGCUGGUAUUCAUUUAUCGGUGUAGUCACGCCUGUCGUUUACUGUGAACAAAUUAGAGUGUUCAAAGCAAGGUGUACUUGAAUACAUUAGCAUGGAAUAAUAAGAUAGGACUUUGGUGGUUCUUUUUUGAUAUUUUGUUGGUUUGCACGCCAAAGUAAUGAUUAAUAGGAGCAGUUGGGGGUAUUCGUAUUCAAUUGUCAGAGGUGAAAUUCUUGGAUUUAUAGAAGACGAACUACUGCGAAAGCAUUUGCCAAGGAUGUUUUCAUUG
rnacentral:rRNA from 1 species